rnacentral:rRNA from 1 species
GGAUUAGAUACCCUGGUAGUCCACGCCGUAAACGAUGCGCACUAGGUAUGGAAGACUCUGACGUCGAUCGUGCCGAAGCAAAAGUGUUAAGUGCGCCGCCUGGGGAGUACGGCCGCAAGGCUAAAACUCAAAGGAAUUGACGGGGGCUCACACAAGCGGUGGAGCAUGUGGAUUAAUUCGAAGCAACGCGAAGAACCCUACCUGGGUUUGACAUGCUUGGAUGCCCUUCUGGAAACAGGAGUAAGCUGCCUUCGGGUGAAACUUGCACAGGUGCUGCAUGGCUGUCGUCAGCUCGUGCCG